GUGAACGCUGGCGGUAGGCCUAACACCUGCAAGUCGAACCGCAGCACAGUAAGAGCUUGCUCUUCCGGGUGGCGAGUGGCGGACGGGUGAGGAAUACAUCGGCAUCUACUUUUUCUUGGGGGAUAACGUAGGGAAACUUACGCUAAUACCGCAUACGACCUACGGGUGAAAGCAGGGGAUCUUCGGACCUUGCGCGAUUGAAUGAGCCGAUGUCGGAUUAGCUAGUUGGCGGGGUAAAGGCCCACCAAGCCGACGAUCCGUCGCCGGUCUGAGAGGAUGAUCAGCCACACUGGAACUGAGACACGGUCCAGACUCCUACGGGAGGCAGCAGUGGGGAAUAUUGGACGAUGGGCGCAAGCCUGAUCCAGCCAUACCGCGUGGGUGAAGAAGGCCUUCGGGUUGUAAAGCCCUUUUGUUGGGAAAGAAAAGCAGCAGGUUAAUACCCCGCUGUUCUGACGGUACCCAAAGAAUAAGCACCGGCUAACUUCGUG
rnacentral:rRNA from 1 species